AGAAAUCUUGCAUAUUGCCAGGGAACAAUGCCAGGAGCAAGAACUCCUGGCAAAUUUGCCAGGAGCAAUGCCAGGGAUGCCCUGGCAAAAUGACUUUAGAAAAGGUGGGACCCGAUUCUCAUACUUUAAUUUGAGUAUUCCCAAUUCUACUUCAUUUCCUCUUUCCCUUUCUCUUUCAUCAGAAACACGAUUUUCUUUUUCUUCUCCCAGACCACCGCACCGCUCUCCAUUCACCACACCACCGCCGCCGCGACCACUAUCACCUCCUUCUCCAUCCAUCAUUGUUGCAUCCUGCUCUGUUUUCGAUGUUGAUUCUUCAGUUUAAAGAGCUAUCUGCAUCUCUCUCCAUAAACCCUAAUUGUUGUAAAUUGUAAGUGAAUCAAAGACUGCUGUUUUAGGUAAGAAAAGAGGGUUUUCUUACGCCAUGAAUUUUUUUCGGAGGUGAAAUUGAAGCAUAUCACCAAAAUGCUUGAGAAUGUUGCCGGAUAGAAAGUGAAAGCUGAAGAAAUAGCAACAGUUAAGGUUGGUUUUGAGAGGCCUAAUGGUGUCAGUGAUAGCAAACCAACUCUUAUUGGUUCUGCAAAUAAUGGAAAUAGCACUACUCCUGCUAGCAAGUAAGUAGGGUGGUGUGAAUUGGCAUUAGAGUUUACCGCAAGGUUUUAAAUUUAGGACAUGUUACGUUUUUGAUACUACGAGUCAAAUGAUGUUGAUGCAGCCUGAAAUCGCUGUAACUUACAAACGCGGCGAUAUCAAAAGCCAUGAUGUUGCAGCUCAGAUUGCGGUCAAAUAAUUGUAGCUCAGCUCGAUGUUUGAAUGCUAAGUGUUAUCGUUUCUCUUUUUAGUAACCAAUUGGUUGUGGUGAAGUUCGUUUUGAUUCUAAUUUGAGGUGUUUGUUUAUUUUUGUUGAUUUUUAGGUCUGAGUUCAGACAGACUUUCAAGAAGGAAAGUCAUAGCAAUAAAUUUGUUAAGUUGAGUCGAAAGAGAUCAAGUGGUUCUACUAUGGAAGGUGCUAGCAAGAAACCAAAGCAAGCAACUAUUUUUAUUGUGAUUGAUGAUUCCAUGUUUAAUGAUCAAGACAUGAAUCAAGAAAGAAAUUCUACCAAGAGGAGCUAAGAGAAAAUGGCCACUGAACAAGCCAUCAAUCCCCCUCAGGACAAAACAAAGCCCAAACAAACAUUUGUCGAAGGAGCUUCAGAUUCUCUUGUCGAGAAGAACAAGAAAAAUAUGAAAAAGGCAAAAUUUGCAGAGGGAAACUCCCAAAAAGAUGGAUCAAAUUUUGAAUUCACAUUAUAGUCGAAGAAGGAAGACAGUAUGAAGACCCUAAAAUGGUUCGUCUUAAGAGAAAGAAGCAUAAAAAGAGUCACUCCAGCAAAGGGCCUGAAACUGCCAAUUCUUGUCAUGGGGUUGAAUCAUCUAAGGACACUCCAUCCCAUGCCUCACCAAAUGUUGGGCCAACACCACUCACUUCGACAAAUUCACCAUCGAUGGAUCCGUCAAUAGUCAACGAGCCCAUUGAGGAAAUGGUUGUUGAUAUCCCCAUAAAUAUGGAUGAAGAAAAGAAUCAGGAAGAAUACAAAGGAUAUAUGCCUGAAGGCCACCAAGUUCCAGACCAUGCAGCCACAAAGACUAUUCCUGAGGAGCCUGCUCAAAAAAAUAUAUAAGACAUCAAUCAUCAAGAAUCCUCUAAUUCAGAAUGAGUGUAUUUUAACUAUCGACCCCAAGAGGAUCUUGAAGAAGAGGGAUCCUCAGAGCCUGAAUACAAUAAGGAUAUCCCAACCAAAGCUGCAUCAAACUCUAAGGCAACCUCUGGCACCCUCAUUGAGUCAAUAGGAACUUGAAGAAUUGAAGGCCAAGAAUCCCAUCAAAGCCUUAAAGUUGAUGAUGAGCAGCAUGAGGUUCCCCUUCAACAAAUCCCAAGGCUCUUCGACUACGUUUGGUGGUGAGCCAUCUGGAAACUCCAAGGACAUGCUAAUCCAAGAACUUCAAGCAAAAAUUCUAUAUGUGGACUUGUUCCAAGCUAUCGAACAAGAUCCUACCAUUGUUUAUGAAAUCAAGGCCUUGAUGCAAAAGCUUAACUCUCCAAAUUCAGGAGAUUCUAUUGAUGGUUUUAUUCUGGAGUAUGAUCCCCUCUUGAAACAAGUUGCCAAGGAUUUCUAGAGGCAAAUAUAAACUACAGGCAGGUUGGAUAUGCAAACAAGUGCUCGAAAUCAAGAAAUAAGCAAUGUUGAAGACACCAGGAAACAAAUGAAACCGUUGGAGGAAAAAUCUGAACAAGAUAGCGAGCUAGUGGCCUCUUGUGAUGCCAACAUUUCUAGGUGGCAACAAGAAAUAAAGGAGUUGCAGUCGAAAAUUGAAGCUGAGGAAAAGAAAAAAGCUGAAAUUCAAGAUGCAACUUUGAGCUCACUGCAAUCUCAGUUGGAGGAAAAAGCGAAAGAAGCAAUCCAGCACCUCGACAAUGCCACCAUACUCGAAGCAGAUGUUGAAGAAAUAGUUGCAACAGAAACUCUGAUCAACACAAGGAUGAAAGAUGCCAAAAUUGUGUUCGACUAAUUAAAAGAAAACCUUAGGAUUUAACUCUGUAAUUUUUGGCUUUGUCAUGGAAAAGAACAAGACAAUGUCCAUUUUCUUCUAAGCUUUAUUUGUAACUUAACAAUGUUUGUUGUAAUUUCAAC